UGGUAAGCUGCGAUAAGCUUGAGGUAGGCGCAUGCAGCCGUUGAUCUCAAGAUCUCUGAAUGGGAAAUCCUGUCCUUCGGGACAUUCCGAAAGGAAAUUUGACGCGGGAAAUUGAAGCAUCUUAGUACCCGCAGGAAAAGAAAUCAAUCGAUAUGUCGUUAGUAAAGGCGAUCGAAAGCGACACAGGGCAAACCGAACUUGCUAGCGAAGAGUUAGUAAGAAUGUGGAGUUAAAGGACUUGUGUCUUCCCUAACUUGUUGACUUAAAGUUCCCUGAAAAGGGAUACCAAAGAUGGUGAUAGUCCAGUAGAGAAAUACAAGAAGGGAAAUGGCAAGUAUCCUGAGUAUUGGUCUUUGAAUAUAGAUCAAAAAUNNNNNNNNNNNNNNNNNNNNNNNNNNNAUAUAACCGAAGUCCGAUAGUGAAUUUAGUACCGCGAGGGAAAACUGAAAAGUAUCCUUAACGGGAGAUGAGAAGAGCCUAAAGCCAAACAGAUAUAGACAGUUGCGGCAUGAAAGUUAAUCAAUGUUGCAACAUCCGUUUUGAAAUUAGAGUAAGGUGAAAAACUUUAUACAAUAUUUUUUGUAUAAUAUUAAUGGUGACAAUGACAGAAAUUACGAAUGAGAUUGCAUAUUUAGUGGGUUUUAUACUAGGAGAUGGUGAUUUUUCUCUUAUAUCAAUCCAUGGAAAAAACCAAUGUAAAAUAUUUUCCGAAAAAGUGGGGUUUAAACACCCAUCUAAAAGUAUAAAGUUGAAAAACCUUCUCUAACAAAAGGAAUGGGUCAGGGAGUUUAUUCCAGUGGUGAGGUGAAAGCCUUAGCGAAAGCGAUAUGAGCGUAGCUUGCGUGGCUCAGGGUAUGAUAAGUGCCUAUAAAUCACUGGGAUAAGACCCGAAGUCUGUUGAUCUAACCCUUGGCAGGUUGAAGUCUGGCGAAAGUUGGAUGGAGGACCGUUACCGGUGAUGAGGACCAAUCUCUCGGGUGACCUGGGGUUAGGGGUGAAAAGCCAAUCGAAACAGACAAUAGCGGGUUCCUUCCGAAAUGCAUCUUAGUGCAGCCUGGCCUGAGGUAGAUAAGAGGGUAGAGCUACCAAUUGGAUUGUCAAGGGUCGAAAGGCUCAGCUUUCCUGUUAAACUCCGAAUCUCUUAUCGCCUUAGAAGGCCAAAAGUGAGGGUUCCCGGGUAAGCCGGGGUCCCGAGACGGAAAAAACCGCGACCAGGGUUAAGGUGUUUAAAUAUCAACUAAACGAUGAAAGAUAUCCAAAACCUCAGACAGUUGGGAGGUAGGCUCAGAAACAGCCAUCCUUUAAAGAGUACGUAACAGUUCACCAACCGAGGUUUUAGGUUCUGAAGAUGGAAGACACUAAGUUGAUUACCGAGACCUUGGACUCUGAAAAGAAUGUGGUAGGAAGGCGUCCUUAAUGGGUAGAAAUAGGGUUGUGAAAUCCUGUGGACCGUUGAGGAAUGAAAAUCCUGAUGCGAGUAGCAGCAUAAGUCGGGUUUGAACCCCGACCGUCUUAAGGGCAAGGGUUUGCCAGCAAUGUUGAUCAUCUGGCAGUAAGUCGAUCCUAACUCAAUUCCUAACCGUUUUUGGGGAAAGGGAAAUCGGUUAAUAUUCCGAUACCAUGAAAAUACGCGUGGCAACACAAGUAAAAAUCAGACACUUUGGGAUAGGCGAACGCGAGUCAGCUGUCGAAAUUUGGGGAGAUUCAUCAAGAAGAGAACCAAAAGCAGACAGAAGAGCUUCUCUUAUGGGAAGUUUUGCUGAUUCCUAGAGUCAAUGAAAAUGGUUUUUAAAGGAUUUUUCGUGAUCGUACUCAGAAUCGACACAGAUGCCCUUCUCUGAGAAGGAGAAGACGUCUAGGUUAACUCGGUUCAAGGAAUUAGGCAACAAUAGCCCUGUAUCUUUGGUAUAAGGGGUGCCUGAGGUCCUUCACGGGAUCCCAGGUCGCAGUAACAAGGAGGAGGCGACUGUUUAACAAAUGGAAAAAAUUGUUUUUUUAUCCAGUUAACAAACAUAGGGGACUGCCAGGGAGAAAUCCUUAGUAUAGUCCCUGAGGCCUGCCCAGUGCCGGUGUGUCAAAGUUGGUUUCAACCAACCUAAGCCCCGGUAAACGGCGGCGGUAACUCUGACCGUCGUAAAGUAGCGUAAUCCCUUGUCGAUUAAAUGUCGACCCGCUUGAAUGGCUUAACGAUCUCCUCGCUGUCUCGAACUGAGGCCUAGUGAGACUGUCUUGUGGUGAAUAUACCACAGACCUUCAAUGGGAAACGAAGACCCCGUAGAGCUUUGCUGUAGUCUGGUGCUGUAUUAUGGUUUUGCAUGCAGAGUGUAGGUAGUAGUUGCUAAUGCUUGUCUCUCGGGGCAAGUGGAGACGACAAUGGAACACUACCCUUGU
rnacentral:rRNA from 1 species